UACGUAGGUGGCGAGCGUUGUCCGGAUUUACUGGGCGUAAAGAGCGCGCAGGCGGUCGUUCAAGUCGCGUGUGAAAGCCCCCGGCUCAACUGGGGAGGGUCACGCGAUACUGAUCGACUCGAAGGCAGGAGAGGGUAGUGGAAUUCCCGGUGUAGUGGUGAAAUGCGUAGAGUAUCGGGAGGAACACCAGUGGCGAAGGCGACUACCUGGCCUGUUCUUGACGCUGAGGCGCGAAAGCUAGGGGAGCAAACGGG
rnacentral:rRNA from 1 species